CUUUCGAUCUGAACUUGAAGACUAUGAUGUCAAUAGACCUGACCGCUUAUUGAAAUCUGCUAUACCAAAGAUUUGUGGGUGUUGCGAAACAUUGGAAUGUCUUAAUAUUCCUUCAAGCUCACGAGAAACUCCUUGCGCUAAAGCGUCAGCAAUGCCGAUACUUGAAAAAUAUGUAAGCAUUAAAAAUUUAUGGCUGACUUUGAGACUUAGAUUAUCAUUUACAUUUUCAUCUCACAUUGCUACCUCUUUCAGCUCGAUGAAAAUGAACCACCUAAA